CCCGACUGCUAUUUGGGUGAGGAUAAGCCAUGCGAGUCGAAUGGGAUACCUAAAUUUCCCAUGGCGAACUGCUCAAUAACACAUGAUCAACUUACCCUAUAGAGAAAAAUAACCUCGGGAAACUGAGGAUAAUGUUUCAUAGUUGAAAAGGCUUGGAAAAGUUUUUCGACCAAAGGGAUAAGAAAAAUGGUUUUUAUCCGCUAUAGGAUAGGAUCGUGGUCGAUUAUGGUCGUUGGUGAGGUAAUGGCUCACCAAGCCGAUAAUCGAUAGGGGCCGUGAGAGCGGGAGCCCCGAGAUGGGUACUGAGACAGCGACCCAGGCCUUACGAGGCGCAGCAGGCGCGAAACCUCCGCAAUACACGAAAGUGUGACGGGGUUACCCAAAGUGUUCAAUUUUGAACUGUGGUAGGUGAGUAAUGUUCCCUACUAGAAAGGAGAGGGCAAGGCUGGUGCCAGCCGCCGCGGUAAAACCAGCUCUUCAAGUGGUCGGGAUAAUUAUUGGGCUUAAAGUAUCCGUAGCCGGUUUAGUAAGUUCCUGGUAAAAUCGGGUAGCUUAACUAUCUAUAUGCUAGGAAUACUACUAUACUAGAGGGCGGGAGAGGUCUGAGGUACUGCAGGGGUAGGGGUGAAAUCUUAUAAUCCUUGUUGGACCACCAGUGGCGAAGGCGUCAGACUGGAACGCGCCUGACGGUGAGGGACGAAAGCCAGGGGAGCGAACCGGAUUAGAUACCCGGGUAGUCCUGGCCGUAAACGAUGCAUACUAGGUGAUGGCACGGCCAUGAGCCGUGUCAGUGCCGUAGGGAAACCGUUAAGUGUGCCGCCUGGGAAGUACGGUCGCAAGGCUAAAACUUAA
rnacentral:rRNA from 1 species